rnacentral:rRNA from 1 species
AUAAUGGGUCAGCGACUUAUAUUCUGUAGCAAGGUUAACCGAAUAGGGGAGCCGAAGGGAAACCGAGUCUUAACUGGGCGUUAAGUUGCAGGGUAUAGACCCGAAACCCGGUGAUCUAGCCAUGGGCAGGUUGAAGGUUGGGUAACACUAACUGGAGGACCGAACCGACUAAUGUUGAAAAAUUAGCGGAUGACUUGUGGCUGGGGGUGAAAGGCCAAUCAAACCGGGAGAUAGCUGGUUCUCCCCGAAAGCUAUUUAGGUAGCGCCUCGUGAAUUCAUCUCCGGGGGUAGAGCACUGUUUCGGCAAGGGGGUCAUCCCGACUUACCAACCCGAUGCAAACUGCGAAUACCGGAGAAUGUUAUCACGGGAGACACACGGCGGGUGCUAACGUCCGUCGUGAAGAGGGAAACAACCCAGACCGCCAGCUAAGGUCCCAAAGUCAUGGUUAAGUGGGAAACGAUGUGGGAAGGCCCAGACAGCCAGGAUGUUGGCUUAGAAGCAGCCAUCAUUUAAAGAAAGCGUAAUAGCUCACUGGUCGAGUCGGCCUGCGCGGAAGAUGUAACGGGGCUAAACCAUGCACCGAAGCUGCGGCAGCGACGCUGAUGCGUUGUUGGGUAGGGGAGCGUUCUGUAAGCCUGUGAAGGUGUGCUGUGAGGCAUGCUGGAGGUAUCAGAAGUGCGAAUGCUGACAUAAGUAACGAUAAAGCGGGUGAAAAGCCCGCUCGCCGGAAGACCAAGGGUUCCUGUCCAACGUUAAUCGGGGCAGGGUGAGUCGACCCCUAAGGCGAGGCCGAAAGGCGUAGUCGAUGGGAAACAGGUUAAUAUUCCUGUACUUGGUGUUACUGCGAAGGGGGGACGGAGAAGGCUAUGUUGGCCGGGCGACGGUUGUCCCGGUUUAAGCGUGUAGGCUGGUUUUCCAGGCAAAUCCGGAAAAUCAAGGCUGAGGCGUGAUGACGAGGCACUACGGUGCUGAAGCAACAAAUGCCCUGCUUCCAGGAAAAGCCUCUAAGCAUCAGGUAACAUCAAAUCGUACCCCAAACCGACACAGGUGGUCAGGUAGAGAAUACCAAGGCGCUUGAGAGAACUCGGGUGAAGGAACUAGGCAAAAUGGUGCCGUAACUUCGGGAGAAGGCACGCUGAUAUGUAGGUGAAGUCCCUCGCGGAUGGAGCUGAAAUCAGUCGAAGAUACCAGCUGGCUGCAACUGUUUAUUAAAAACACAGCACUGUGCAAACACGAAAGUGGACGUAUACGGUGUGACGCCUGCCCGGUGCCGGAAGGUUAAUUGAUGGGGUCAGCGCAAGCGAAGCUCUUGAUCGAAGCCCCGGUAAACGGCGGCCGUAACUAUAACGGUCCUAAGGUAGCGAAAUUCCUUGUCGGGUAAGUUCCGACCUGCACGAAUGGCGUAAUGAUGGCCAGGCUGUCUCCACCCGAGACUCAGUGAAAUUGAACUCGCUGUGAAGAUGCAGUGUACCCGCGGCAAGACGGAAAGACCCCGUGAACCUUUACUAUAGCUUGACACUGAACAUUGAGCCUUGAUGUGUAGGAUAGGUGGGAGGCUUUGAAGUGUGGACGCCAGUCUGCAUGGAGCCGGCCUUGAAAUACCACCCUUUAAUGUUUGAUGUUCUAACGUUGACCCGUGAUCCGGGUUGCGGACAGUGUCUGGUGGGUAGUUUGACUGGGGCGGUCUCCUCCUAAAGAGUAACGGAGGAGCACGAAGGUUGGCUAAUCCUGGUCGGACAUCAGGAGGUUAGUGCAAUGGCAUAAGCCAGCUUGACUGCGAGCGUGACGGCGCGAGCAGGUGCGAAAGCAGGUCAUAGUGAUCCGGUGGUUCUGAAUGGAAGGGCCAUCGCUCAACGGAUAAAAGGUACUCCGGGGAUAACAGGCUGAUACCGCCCAAGAGUUCAUAUCGACGGCGGUGUUUGGCACCUCGAUGUCGGCUCAUCACAUCCUGGGGCUGAAGUAGGUCCCAAGGGUAUGGCUGUUCGCCAUUUAAAGUGGUACGCGAGCUGGGUUUAGAACGUCGUGAGACAGUUCGGUCCCUAUCUGCCGUGGGCGCU